AGGACGAACGCUGGCGGCGUGCUUAACACAUGCAAGUCGAGCGGAAAGGCCUUUCGGGGUACUCGAGCGGCGAACGGGUGAGUAACACGUGAGUAAUCUGCCCAUCGCUUCAGGAUAGCCAUCGGAAACGGUGAUUAAUACUGGAUAAUGACAUUCCUUCGCAUGUUGGGGUGUGGAAAGUUUUUUCGGCGGUGGAUGUGCUCGCGGCCUAUCAGCUUGUUGGUGGGGUAAUGGCCUACCAAGGCUUUGACGGGUAGCCGGCCUGAGAGGGUGACCGGCCACACUGGGACUGAGACGCGGCCCAGACUCCUACGGGAGGCAGCAGUGGGGAAUAGUUGGACAAUGGGCGAAGCCUGAUCCAGCAACG
rnacentral:rRNA from 1 species